GACGAACGCUGGCGGCGUGCCUAAUACAUGCAAGUCGAACGCAGUGGGGACGGGUGAGUAACACGUGGGUAACCUCCCAUCAGAGGGGAUAACACUUGGAAACAGGUGCUAAACCGAUACUGAUGGAUGGACCCGCGGUGCAUUAGCUAGUUGGUGAGGUAACGGCUCACCAAGGCGACGAUGCAUAGCGGGCCUGGUGGGAUGACCGGCAACAGUGGGAAUAGGACGAGGCGCAGACUCCGACGGGAGGCAGCAGUAGGGAAGAUUCGGCAAUGGGCGAAAGGCUAACCGAGCAACGGCGCGUGAGUGAAGAAGGGUUUCGGAUCGUAAAACACUGUUGUUAGAGAAGCGGUAUCUAACGAGAAAGCAACGGCUAACUACGUGCCAGCAGCCGCGGUAAUUC
rnacentral:rRNA from 1 species